GUCUACAGCCAUGCCACCCUGAACAAGCCCAAUCCCAUCUGAUCUUGGAAGCUAAGCAGGGUCGGGUCUGGUUAGUUACCUGGAUGGGAGACUGGGGACUGGGUGCUGUAGGCG
rnacentral:rRNA from 1 species